rfam:Capsicum annuum cultivar Zunla-1 chromosome 4, whole genome shotgun sequence
GUCCCUCCAGGAACAUCCCAUAAAAUUGAAACUGAACAGGAAAGAUUAGCAUGACCGCUUCGCAAGAGAGACACGCACAAAUCAAGAAAUGAAAAUAGUGAAG